rnacentral:rRNA from 1 species
CUUGGUCAUUUAGAGGAAGUAAAAGUCGUAACAAGGUUUCCGUAGGUGAACCUGCGGAAGGAUCAUUAGUGAAUCUGCUUUGUCUGGAAGAAAUUCUGGAUAGGGCUCUCUCACAUCCAUAACACCUGUGAACUGUAAGAUGUGGUGAUUUCGAUCCCCAUCUGCCCCCAUUUAAACAUUCAGUAGUAACAAAAGUAGUAUUAUUAUAAUCUAAUAAAACUUUCAACAACGGAUCUCUUGGCUCUCGCAUCGAUGAAGAACGCAGCGAAAUGCGAUAAGUAAUGUGAAUUGCAGAAUUCAGUGAAUCAUCGAAUCUUUGAACGCACCUUGCGCUCUAUGGUAUUCCGUAGAGCAUGCCUGUUUGAGUGUCAUGAAAACAAUCAACCUUGACUUUGGGUAACUCUGAAGACUUGGAUUGGACUUGGGUGUUUGCCAGCCUCACAGCUGGCUCAUCUUAAAUGUAUUAGCUGGAUUUGUCUGGAUGACAGGUUUGACUUGGCGUAAUAAGUAUUUCGCUGAGGACAUCUCUUUUGAGGUGGCCAGUCUUCAGACAGCAGUCUGCUUUCCAACCUAUGUUUUCUCUUUGGAGACAUGACUUUUUAUUAUUUGGCCUCAAAUCAGGUAGGACUACCCGCUGAACUUAAGCAUAUCAAUAAGCGGAGG